GGACUACCGGGGUUUCUAAUCCCGUUUGCUCCCCUGGCUUUCGUGCCUCAGCGUCAGGAAAUGUCCAGAGACUCGCCUUCGCCACUGGUGUUCCACUUGAUAUCUACGCAUUUCACUGCUACACCAAGUAUUCCAGUCUCCCCUCCAUUCCUCUAGUCAGAUAGUUUCCAACGCAGUUUCCGGGUUAGGCCCGGAGAUUUCACGUCAGACUUAAAUGACCGCCUACGCACCCUUUACGCCCAGUGAAUCCGAACAACGCUUGGGACCUCUGUAUUACCGCGGCGGCUGGCAC
rnacentral:rRNA from 2 species